GGCGACGAUCAGUAGCCGACCUGAGAGGGUGAUCGGCCACACUGGGACUGAGACACGGCCCAGACUCCUACGGGAGGCAGCAGUCGGGAAUAUUGGUCAAUGGGGGAAACCCUGAACCAGCAAUGCCGCGUGAGUGAUGAAGGUUUUCGGAUCGUAAAGCUCUGUCUUUGGGGACGAAUAAAUGACGGUACCCGAGGAGGAAGCCCCGGCUAACUACGUGCCAGCAGCCGCGGUAAUACGUAGGGGGCGAGCGUUGUCCGGAAUUACUGGGCGUAAAGGGCGAGUAGGCGGUUUAAUAAGUCAGAUGUGAAAUGCCAGGGCUCAACCCUGGAACUGCAUUUGAAACUAUUAGACUUGAGUGCAGGAGAGGAAAGUGGAAUUCCCAGUGUAGCGGUGAAAUGCGUAGAUAUUGGGAGGAACACCAGUGGCGAAGGCGACUUUCUGGACUGUAACUGACGCUGAGGCGCGAAAGCGUGGGGAGCAAACAGGAUUAGAUACCCU
rnacentral:rRNA from 1 species